GUGAGGAAUCUUGCGCAAUGGGGGAAACCCUGACGCAGCAACGCCGCGUGAGUGAGGAAGGCCUUCGGGUCGUAAAGCUCUGUCAGAUGGAAAGAAAUGCAUGGGGGUUAACAGCCCUCAUGCUUGACGGUACCAUCAGAGGAAGCACCGGCUAACUCCGUGCCAGCAGCCGCGGUAAUACGGGGGGUGCAAGCGUUGUUCGGAAUCAUUGGGCGUAAAGAGCGUGUAGGCGGCUUGAUAAGUCAGAUGUGAAAGCCCUGGGCUUAACCUGGGAAGUGCAUUUGAAACUGUCAGGCUCGAGUAGGGGAGAGGGAAGUGGAAUUCCUGGUGUAGAGGUGAAAUUCGUAGAUAUCAGGAGGAACACCGGUGGCGAAGGCGACUUCCUGGCCCUAUACUGACGCUGAGACGCGAGAGCGUGGGUAGCAAACAGGAUUAGAAACCCUAGUAGUCC
rnacentral:rRNA from 1 species